rnacentral:rRNA from 1 species
AUUGAACGCUGGCGGAAUGCUUUACACAUGCAAGUCGAACGGCAGCACGGACUUCGGUCUGGUGGCGAGUGGCGAACGGGUGAGUAAUAUAUCGGAACGUGCCCAGUCGUGGGGGAUAACGUAGUGAAAAUUACGCUAAUACCGCAUACGAUCUAAGGAUGAAAGCGGGGGAUCGCAAGACCUCGCGCGAUUGGAGCGGCCGAUAUCAGAUUAGGUAGUUGGUAGGGUAAAGGCCUACCAAGCCAACGAUCUGUAGCUGGUCUGAGAGGACGACCAGCCACACUGGAACUGAGACACGGUCCAGACUCCUACGGGAGGCAGCAGUGGGGAAUUUUGGACAAUGGGCGAAAGCCUGAUCCAGCCAUUCCGCGUGCAGGAUGAAGGCCCUCGGGUUGUAAACUGCUUUUGUACAGAACGAAAAGGUCUCUACUAAUACUAGGGGCUCAUGACGGUACUGUAAGAAUAAGCACCGGCUAACUACGUGCCAGCAGCCGCGGUAAUACGUAGGGUGCAAGCGUUAAUCGGAAUUACUGGGCGUAAAGCGUGCGCAGGCGGUUAUAUAAGUCAGAUGUGAAAUCCCCGGGCUCAACCUGGGAACUGCAUUUGAGACUGUAUAGCUAGAGUACGGUAGAGGGGGAUGGAAUUCCGCGUGUAGCAGUGAAAUGCGUAGAUAUGCGGAGGAACACCGAUGGCGAAGGCAAUCCCCUGGACCUGUAC